CGCUAGACAGUUUUGUCGUUGAUGUGCGCGCUCGCAUACACUUCAAAGGGAAGCCGACAGUCGUUAGUCAGACUUACAGAGAUAAUAAAUCAA